UCCCAACCCCUCCUUUUAACUCCUCCCUUCCUUCUUUCCACUUCACUUUGCACAUUCGGAAGCAGUUCAACCGUCACAGGUACGGAAGAGAUUCGCAUGCGCAUGCGCUUGCGGAGCUAGCCGCGGACUGCUUCCCCGUCUGUCGUCUCGGUCUAAUAGGAGCCAAACUGGCAGUCUCUCCUUGGCCAUUUGUCAGUAGCUGGGAAAUCUCCGACUGUAUUUUAUUGCCAUUUUGCAAAAUGCCACGCACGAAAAGAGAGCGCUGCUGUACGUUGGGAAGAAGGCCCGGUGCGUGAUUUAUAGGGGGCUGGUGCUGUGAAGAGAGCAUUCGGCCUUGAGUUAGGACGCAAAUGCGCCCUCAGAUACUAGCACUGUUAUCUGGGGCAAAUCAUUUAACUAUGCCUCCGAAAAGAUUUUUCUUUUUUUUUUUAAUACGAAUAAGUGAGCCCCUGCUGGUGUUUCCUGGGAUUUGUCUAAUGAAUCUGCCUGGUAAUACUUCCAGGCGACUCGUGCGAAUCCAACCAACCCCGUUCCCAGUUCUCACCUGCAACCCGGAGCCAAGGGCCAAUAGCCAAUAACUUGGUCUGUUACUGAAUUAAGUUAUUUCACCUACCCAACUUCUGUCACAACUACUUACAUUUCCAGUUGUUUCAAAGGGCAUAGAGAAUGGUUUCUUACUUUUGAAAGGGGCUUUGUGAGUAUUUUAUUCAGCUACCGUAAGGCAGGUGCUAGUAUUAUCUCCUCCCUCUCCCCCCCUUUUUUUUUUUCCUUUUAAACAGAUUAAACUAAGGCCUGACACGUUAAAUGGCUUUUGAAUUCAGGUCUUCUGAGAGCAGAUCGAGUUGUAUGCAGUGAACCACAUAGCUGCCCCCAAGAUAAGACAUACAUUAUUUUGAAAAUUGUUUAGCCACAAGUUUUUAAGGAAGAAGCAAAUUGUAUAUCUGUUUUAAACUGACAUUGGAACAGCUAACAGCUGAAUAGCUAACAGCUAACAACGUUAGAACAGCUAAACGAUUAACCUUUCGUGAAGGUAAAACCCCAAACGUGUAGUUAUGCUUUACAUCAGAUUCUCCUGGAAGAUUGUAUUGUUUUAUUUCAUCUGCUGAGGGCAAGAGAAAUCAUAUACAAUAUAGUGGAAUUACAAAUCAUUCCAGGUAGGACUAGCAUUCUAGUGUUCAAUAAAACAUUUAAGAUUCCUUUUGUUUUGUGUAGGGUAGGGGUAAGGGGUAAUCUCAAUUAAAAAUCGAUACUUUUUUUUUUUUUGAGCAAUGGGGAGAACUCAAGACUAACAAACUGAAGUGGAAUACCCUCAAUCAAACUUAAAUUCCUCAAAAAAGGUCUCAAGGAUAAAUGGAAUAAUUGAUGUGAAACUACUUUUUCUCUCCCACAGAACUGCAGGAAUAUAUUUUUAUUUUGAAAAUCUUAAGAAGGAAGAUGCUUUAGGCCAGGUGGUAAACAUCUAUGAAGAUGCAUUAUCAGCAUUUUCAAGAAAUUGACGUGAUACACUCAAGUAGUUAUAUCCAUCAGAGGGACAAUACAACCUGUGUACAGAAGCAGUCACUUCCUUUUAUACAGUUCUGUUAGGAAAAAGGAAGAUUCACUUUAAAUUAAUUUGCCUGCACAAUAAUGAUAAAUGGAGAAUUUAUUCAUAUCACAUAUUCUGAUUACCAUUACAAGUGGUAGAUAAAGGUUUUAUCGAAAAAAAUAAAGUGUAUAAAUUGUUGAGAUGAACAAAAUACUGGAGGUUUGAAUGCUGUAAAAAUAUAUUUAAACCAGCCUGUUUUUUUUAAAAAUAAAACAAAGCAUCUUUCUAACAAGUCUACUUCUGAGCAACAUGCAAUUCUUUACUAUUUACCACUUUUGAAAAUACAUCUAACAAUUGCAUUACAUUUUUACAUUAUUAGUACAACAGUUUUUCCUCAAUAAACCCACACAAUUGUGAAUAGAAAACCAAUCCAUCUUUAAUGAAAUUCUCUCUUGGUCAGAGCCAAGUUUUUCUCCUACACUUUUUGUUAAUAAAGUUGAAAUGUUACUAUUCUCAAGAACAGGAAAAGUAGAAUAAAACCCACACAACUUUGUAUUAUGGUAAAUUUCUUUUCCACCCUAGCAAAAAUUUUUUACCUCAUUUAGAUAAGCUAUCAUGAUGUUUUUAUUUUCCUCAGAGGAGAUGCUUUCUAAUUAGAAACAUCAAAGCACAGCUGCCACAUUUUACUGAAUGUUAUAUUAACCAAUAUUCUACUUCCAAAGUCUAAGGAAAACAAAAACAUCCUAAUUUUUAUUAAUAAUAUAUAAGCCAAGUAAGAAAUGGUCACUAAUUUUAAUAUUCAUCUAAUUUCAUGUAAAAAAAACAUUCAAGGGUGGUGAUAUAGUAAAUAAGUUGUCAUUUUGUUUUGAAUGAGUUGCUCAAUUAGGUUUAAAGAAAUUGGCUGAAUUAUAAUUUGUGCCCCAGAAUGAGAAAAAUGCCAAAAAGAGCACAAAACUAGCUCCAUUUGUUUUGGGGAUGCUCAAAAACCUUCAAAAGUAAUUGCAAAAAUACUGAGAACCAAAUUGGGAAGACUUUUCGGGGUUAAAGUACUGCCUAUAUAUAAGUUAAGAAGGAAUUUAAAUUGAACAGAUAUUUGGCUGUCCUCACACUGUUGUGCUCAGAAAUUUUUAAAUGGCUCUUAAAAUUUUAUAGAACAGACCAAACACACACUAGAAAACCCCGCUAUGCUGAAGCUAACACUGGAAAAUCAUUUGAGUGUAAGAACAAUGGGGAAAGAUAGUGGUAACUAGAGUGCUCUGGAUGAUUUAUCUUAAAUUUCAGCCUUAAACUUUGGCAUCUGAAACCUAAUGAAGACAGACUUGGAUUGUGAUUAUGGAUCAAGAGUUCCACCUAUGUUCUCUCAGACCCUCUAAAGAAAUGAAAACUAUUUACUUAAGAUCCUAAGAUCAAAUCUAGAGACUUUUAAUACUGCCAUCCAAAUAGCCUAAACAUUAAGAACUUGUCAUGAACUGAACAUACAGACUAGGAGACUAGUUAUAGGUACUCCACAGACUAGUAUACUUUUAAGA